rnacentral:lncRNA from 1 species
CUUUUCUCUCUUCUCUUUUCCUCUACUCUCCCUCUUCCUCUCUUUUCUUUCUUUAUCCUGUUAACUGAAUGACUCGUAUAAUACUUAUUUUAAACCACUGCUCAUGGUGACUUGGUAUUUGGCUUUCCUAGGUUGUCAAUAUGUUGAGAUGGUUUUCUUUUUCUUUUGUGGCUUGCUUUCGUCAGGCUCUUGUUUUCUAACAGCAGUAUUUCUUAUGUUUGUAUUUUAAAUAUUUUGUACACACACUUUAUUAUAUAUUAUCUGGAUAGCUCCCCUAAAAGACUUGAUGGCAAACUAGAAUUAUUUCUGGUUUUAUGAAAUGGUCAAAAUAAAAUACUGAUGCAUUUAAUAUGAUUUUCUAAGUCAAAUGCAUAACACAAGCAUCCCUUAUUUGAAAUACUUGAGACCAGAAUUGUUUUGGGUUUUGGGUUUUUUCAGAUUUUGGAAUAUUUGAAUUACCUUUACCUGUGAGCAUCCCUAAUUCGAAAAUUUGAAAUCCAGUGCUCCAGUGAGCAUUUCCUUUGAGCUGUGAGCAUCAUGUCAGUGCUGGAAAAGUAUUGACUUUUGGAGCAUUUCAGAUUUCAGAUUUGGAUUAAAGAUGCUCAACUUGUAUACACCUGUCUUUAAACUAUAACAGAUGAUUUCUUUCUCUCCAACAGUUCUUUUUUGUUUGUUUGUUUUUGGUGUUUUUUAUUUCUCUACAACAAUUUUUUGUUUUUUUUGUGUGUGUUUUUGUGUUUCUUUUGAGACAGGGUUUCACUGUAUUGACCAGGAUAGUCUUGAACUCCUGGCCUCAAGUGAUCCUCCCACCUUGGCUUCCCAAAGUGCCAGGAUGGUAUCCGUGAGCCACUGCAUUGGGUGCAACAGCUCUUUCCUAGUUCUUCUGUUGUAGCAUUUUAAGUCCAGAUGUUACAUUGAUUACUGUCCUCUGGGUUUUUAUUUCUAGCAUCUAGGGGUAAUAUUGAACCUAAUCUUUCAAAAUUUCUACUUAAUCCUUUCAAACACACACAGGAAUAGAGAGUAGUUCAUAUUGAAACCUUGUGGUCCCAUCACCCAGUUUCGAUUGUUAUCAAAGCUUUGCCACUUUGUUGGUUUCUUUCUCUUUGCCCAUUUGUUUGUUGAGUUAUUUUAAAGCAGAUGCACUCCAUCCUAUCUCUAAUAGAUAUCUCCCUUUAAAAAAGAAAUUCAAUGCAUUAUCACAUCUGACCAAACUAAUUUUUUUAGGAAAAAAAUCUAGCCUGGGCAACAUAGCAAGACCUCAUCUCUGCAAAACAUCAGAAACAAAAAAAUUAGCCUUCCAUAGGUUAAAUCCACCCUGCUGUAUGUCUGUUAAUAAAGUUUUAUUGGAACACAGGCACAUCUUGGGGGAUAUUUCUAACAGAGACCAUGUGAUCUACAAAGCCUAAAGUAUUUGCCAUCUGGCUCCUUAGAGAGAAUAUUUGCCCACUCCUGAGCCAGGAACUUUAAAUUGACCAGGAACUUUUUGCAGUGGAGUAUUAUUUGACCAUGAAAAGGAAUAUAGUUCUGACACAUUCUACUCCACAUUGGUAAACCUUCAAAACAUGAUGUGGGAUGAAAUAAGCUAGACAAAAAAGGGGCCCUAGAUUCUUCUAAGUCAUAGGGACAGAAGGUAGAUGGUGGGUGCCAGGGGCUGGGGAGGUGCAGGGAAGGGGGAGAUACUGUUUAAUGAGGAGGGAGUUUCUGUUUGGAAUGAUGAAGUUCCACCAAUGGAUGGUAGAGAGGGUUGCACAACAAGGUUGAUAGGCUUCCCGCCACUGAACCAUACACUUAAAAAUGAUUAAAAUGGAAAAUUUUAUGAUAGAUGUAUUUUACCAAAUAACUGUAUACAUAAUUGUAAUAUUUAAUUAGACAUAAAUAAUAUAUCCUG